rnacentral:rRNA from 1 species
CAAGCUAAAUAAGGGCGUAUGGGGAAUGCCUAGGCUCUCAGAGGCGAAGAAGGACGUGAUAAGCUGCGAAAAGCCGCGGGGAUCGGCACACACGAAUUGAUCCGCGGGUAUCCGAAUGGGGCAACCCGGCAUAUUGAAGAUAUGUCAUCCCGCAAGGGAAGCAAACCCGGUGAACUGAAACAUCUAAGUAGCCGGAGGAGGAGAAAACAAAAGUGAUUCCGAUAGUAGCGGCGAGCGAAAUCGGAUUAGCCCAAACCAAUGUUGUUUCGGCAAUAUUGGGGUUGUAGGACCACGUUAUUGGACGUGCGAUGAAUUAGAAUACCUUGGAAAGGGUAACCAUAGAGGGUGACAGUCCCGUAUAGGUAAAGAACAUCGUCCAUAGUGGUAUCCUGAGUAGUGCGGGGCACGUGAAACCCUGUAUGAAUCCGGCGGGACCAUCCGCCAAGGCUAAAUACUCCUGAGAGACCGAUAGUGAACCAGUACCGUGAGGGAAAGGUGAAAAGAACCGUGAAUAACGGAGUGAAAAAGAUCCUGAAACCAUACGCUUACAAGCGGUCGGAGCCGCGCCUCGGCGCGGUGACGGCGUGCCUUUUGCAUAAUGAGCCUACGAGUUACUUUUACUGGCAAGGUUAAGUCCUUUAGGGACGGAGCCGUAGCGAAAGCGAGUCUUAAUAGGGCGCCAUAGUCAGUAGUAGUAGACGCGAAACCGUGCGAUCUACCCAUGGGCAGGUUGAAGCUGUGGUAACACAUAGUGGAGGACCGAACCCGUUGACGUUGAAAAGUCUUGGGAUGACCUGUGGGUAGGGGUGAAAGGCCAAUCAAGCUCGGAAAUAGCUCGUACUCCCCGAAAUGCAUUUAGGUGCAGCGUGUAGAUAGUUUUAUAGAGGUAGAGCUACUGAUUGGAUGCGGGGGCUUCACCGCCUACCAAUUCCUGACAAACUCCGAAUGCUAUAAAAUGUUUCUGCGCAGUGAGGGCAUGGGUGCUAAGGUCCAUGUCCGAGAGGGAAAGAACCCGGACCAUCAGCUAAGGUCCCAAAGUGUGUGCUAAGUUGACAAAACGCGGUGGAACUGCAUUGACAGCCAGGAUGUUGGCUUGGAAGCAGCCAUUCAUUUAAAGAGUGCGUAACAGCUCACUGGUCGAGCGGUUCCGCAUGGAUAAUGAUCGGGCAUAAGCACACCACCGAAGCUAUGGCUUCUAUUUAUAGAGGGGUAGGGGAGCAUUGUAGUGCCGCUGAAGGUGUACCUGCGAGGGAUGCUGGAGGAGCUACAAACGAAAAUGUAGGCAUAAGUAACGAUAAUGUGGGCGAGAAACCCACACGCCGAAAGACUAAGGUUUCCCCAGCUAUGCUAAUCAGCUGGGGGUCAGUCGGGACCUAACGCAGACCCGAAGGGGGAAGUGGAUGGACAACAGAUUAAUAUUUCUGUACCUGCUCGCAUUAAAAGCGACGGAGGCGAGGAGUUGGUGCGUGCAGACGGAAUUGCACGUUGAAGGGACAGGUAACUGCCCGAUAGUACACCGAGGCUACGGCCAAGGUGAUAAUCCAGCAUAUCGACUUCCAAGAAAAGCAAGCGAAGCAGCCCGUACCCUAAACCGACACAGGUAGUUGGGAUGAGAAUUCUAAGGCGCUCGAGAGAUUCAUGGCUAAGGAACUAGGCAAAAUAGACCCGUAACUUCGGGAGAAGGGUCGCCCUGACUAUAAACGUCAGGGCCGCAGUGAAGAGGUCCAGGCGACUGUUUAUCAAAAACACAGGGCUCUGCUAAAUCGAGAGAUGAAGUAUAGGGCCUGACACCUGCCCGGUGCUGGAAGGUUAAGAGGAGAUGUCAUCUUCGGAGAAGCAUUGAAUUGAAGCCCCAGUAAACGGCGGCCGUAACUAUAACGGUCCUAAGGUAGCGAAAUUCCUUGUCGGGUAAGUUCCGACCUGCACGAAUGGUGCAACGAUCUGGACACUGUCUCGGCCAUGAGCUCGGUGAAAUUGUAGUAUCGGUGAAGAUGCCGGUUACCCGCAGUGGGACGAAAAGACCCCGUGCACCUUUACUAUAGCUUCGUAUUGACCUUGGUCAAGCAAUGUGUAGGAUAGCUGGGAGACUUUGAAGCUGCAUCGCCAGGUGUGGUGGAGUCAUUGUUGAAAUACCAGCCUUUGCUUGUCCGGGGCCUAACCCUCCAAGAGGGAACAGUGCGUGGUGGGUAGUUUGACUGGGGUGGUCGCCUCCAAAAGAGUAACGGAGGCUUCUAAAGGUGCCCUCAAUACGGUUGGCAAUCGUGUGUAGAGUGCAAUGGCACAAGGGCGCUUGACUGUGAGACAUACAGGUCGAACAGGUUGGAAACAAGAGCAUAGUGAUCCGGUGGUUCCGUAUGGAAGGGCCAUCGCUCAAAGGAUAAAAGGUACGCCGGGGAUAACAGGCUGAUCUCCCCCAAGAGCUCAUAUCGACGGGGGGGUUUGGCACCUCGAUGUCGGCUCGUCACAUCCUGGGGCUGGAGAAGGUCCCAAGGGUUGGGCUGUUCGCCCAUUAAAGUGGCACGCGAGCUGGGUUCAGAACGUCGUGAGACAGUUCGGUCUCUAUCUACUGCGGGCGUUAGAAAUCUGCGUGGAUCUGACCCUAGUACGAGAGGACCGGGUCGGACUGACCGCUGGUGCACCAGUUGUUCCGCCAGGAGCAUCGCUGGGUAGCUAUGUCGGGAUUGGAUAAGCGCUGAAAGCAUAUAAGCGCGAAACCAGCCACAAGAUGAGAUUUCUUUAAAGGGCCGUGGGAGAUGACCACGUUGAUAGGCCAUAGGUGCAGGGGCAGUAAUGUCCGUAGCCGAGUGGUACUAAUUGCCCGUUGAGCUUGCGCACAUAGGUCCCUUCCCCAACCCGUUACAGGGGAAAGGAAGGGACGAAUACCUUUACUUAGUUCGAAACGAACCCUUUACUUAAAAAAACCGUACUUUUUUCUUCAACUGUCCCUUUAUUAUGUCAUUAUCAUACAAUUGGCAAUGAACAAUGGGCAAUUAUCAAUAUAUAUUGGUAACUGUUGAUCGUUAAUCAAAACAUUGACCGAAUAAUUUAGGU